rnacentral:rRNA from 1 species
GUCCACGCUGUAAACGAUGACGACUAGGUGUGGGGGGUUCAGUCCCCUCCGUGCCGCAGCUAACGCAUUAAGUCGUCCGCCUGGGGAGUACGGCCGCAAGGUUGAAACUCAAAGGAAUUGACGGGGGCCCGCACAAGCGGUGGAGCAUGUGGUUCAAUUCGAUGCAGAGCGAAGAACCUUACCUGGGCUUGACAUGCAGGAAGUAGAAACCGGAAACGGCGACGACCUGUUAAGUCAGGAACCUGCACAGGUGGUGCAUGGCUGUCGU